GUUUAACCAAUAAUGUCUUGCUUGUAUUUUAUUUAAUACAAUCAUUCACAAUCCAUCUAUUAGAAAAGAUAGAACAUAACUGUGGAAAUAAACCAAUUUAUCCUGGAAGAAAAGAGCACCUUUGUUCUGUGGCGAUGCCUACGUUGGAUUUUUCCCAUCUGGGAAAACUUAACCCCAGAAUCCUUUCUUCAAAUGCAACGCCAUUUGAAACUGCACAAGCAACCCCAAUGUUCUUGUAAUGGCACUGAGAAAUUUCCAUUUAGAUACUUUAUAAAUACCACCACAAGACAGCUCAUUCUGACCCCCAAGUUAAAUAUAUUGGAAGUUUCAGUUGCCACAGGACACUCACAUGCUCUCAUAAGAGAGCAGAAAUGCUUUGAAGGCAAGUUUUUUGCUGCCUGCAAGUCAGGGGAGAUGGCAAGCAGAGAGAUAAAAUUCAUUGCUAUCUUUGUAGUGUUAUUAGGAAUCCAUAAGCAUCAGGUUCAAAAUUCCUCAGAUAAAAAUGCCUGGAAAAACAUACAAGACUUCAUCAAUUUGCAAUAAUUGGUAAUCUACAGAGAAAAUUAAAGUUACUUCAUCCUUGAGAAAAAACAUUUAUUUAAUUUAUAUCUCCACAAAGAAAUUGACUUUACAGAAUAGGGGCAGCUCCUGCUUGGGAUGGAUGGAAAAAUGGGAGAAUAACCACAGCAAUGACUGCAAUCCUACAGCAAUGGCAGCCUCCCUAUAGCUAUCUAUUGGUAGUAUUUUAUAAAGAAAGAAGUUCUUACAUGCCAGUUACAGGCCACAGAGAAACACACAAAAUAUUUGACAUUGAUGGUGUGGAAGAUGCUGUCUCAGUUCUUGAAAGCCUACGGCUAAACCACACUUGAUGAAAACCAUUAGUUUGGCUUUUCACAAAACAAAAUUUAUUAAAACCAGAUUUAAAAGUGCCCCAAUUCUGUAAAAUAUUAACUAAAAAAUGAAAUCUAUCUAAAGAAAACCUGACAUUGCUGCCUCCUGAUAGUGCUACAUGCAUGUUAUGGCCUUCUGUUCAGUAGGAGCAGGAAGCAAUGGUUUUUAUCUGUGUGAAUUGAAAUGAGCUGAAAUGAACUGCCAUGACAGAGGAAAAACUGUUGGAAUGUCUCAUGGAAAGACAGUUUUCUGAAGACCCUUCUUUGAGAGGAAUCUGAGUAAAUAUUCCAUUUUAUGCAAAACAGAUCUACAUUCUCCUUCUUUUACAGACACAAGGGCUGCUCCGAAAGCCAUGUUUCCCAUUUUAUUACGUUUGCUCACAAAAACUCCAUGAGGAGCAAUCUCCAAGAAGAGAU
rnacentral:lncRNA from 1 species